rnacentral:rRNA from 1 species
GAUGAACGCUGGCGGCGUGCCUAAUACAUACAAGUCGAGCGGACGGACGAGAAGCUUGCUUCUCUGAUGUUAGCGGCGGACGGGUGAGUAACACGUGGAUAACCUACCUAUAAGACUGGGAUAACUUCGGGAAACCGGAGCUAAUACCGGAUGAUAUUUUGAACCGCAUGGUUCAAAAGUGAAAGACGGUCUUGCUGUCACUUAUAGAUGGAUCCGCGCUGCAUUAGCUAGUUGGUAAGGUAACGGCUUACCAAGGCAACGAUGCAUAGCCGACCUGAGAGGGUGAUCGGCCACACUGGAACUGAGACACGGUCCAGACUCCUACGGGAGGCAGCAGUAGGGAAUCUUCCGCAAUGGGCGAAAGCCUGACGGAGCAACGCCGCGUGAGUGAUGAAGGUCUUCGGAUCGUAAAACUCUGUUAUUAGGGAAGAACAUAUGUGUAAGUAACUGUGCACAUCUUGACGGUACCUAAUCAGAAAGCCACGGCUAACUACGUG